ACAGAGUAUGGUGAUAGCGUUAUUCCGUGCGUGAUUAGGUAACCACUCAGACCCCAGGAGCGAAGCUCGGUAAUGGAAGCGGUGCAGCUGUGACAGAGCUAAAUAUGAAGCUACAGCUUGGUUAGCUGAACACAACAACUUGAAACAGGAAAACAACUAGCCUGGUCCAAUACAAAGUGAACCUCCACCUGGGCACGGCAGCGAGGUCGGAGGUCAAUCUCAGCAAGUGGUUCCAGCUUCCCGUACUUGGUUACCAGGCAAUGGUAUCUGUGGAGGAAAAGAGCAGGUUGUGCUGGCUUCUAUGCUUCCUUCACUUACUGUGCUAUCAUGAGGCUGCGUCGCUCUACGUUGGUGUAGGUCUGCAGUAAGGGAAUGCCCUGCAGUCGCACUUCCUCCAACUUAGGGAAGAAGUUCAGCUUCUCAAUGUCGGCCCAUCGGUUGAGACCUGGCAACACGCACAGACAUGUUAGG